rnacentral:rRNA from 1 species
UACGUAGGGUGCAAGCGUUGUCCGGAAUUAUUGGGCGUAAAGCGCGUGUAGGCGGCUUGUUAAGUCCGCUCUGAAAGCCCGGGGCUCAACCCUGGGAGGCGGGUGGAUACUGGCAAGCUCGAGUCCGGAAGAGGCGAGUGGAAUUCCUGGUGUAGCGGUGAAAUGCGCAGAUAUCAGGAGGAACACCAAUGGCGAAGGCAGCUCGCUGGGACGUGACUGACGCUGAGACGCGAAAGCGUGGGGAGCAAACAGG